AUUGAACGCUGGCGGCAGGCCUAACACAUGCAAGUCGAACGAGUGGCGGACGGGUGAGUAAGGUCUGGGAAACUGCCUGAGGGAGGGGGAAAAGUACUGGAAACGGUAGCUAAAAACGCAUGGCAGCAGAUGUGCCGAGAUGGGAUUAGCUAGUUGGGGGGGUAACGGCUCACCAAGGCGACGAUCCGUAGCUGGUCUGAGAGGAUGACCAGCCACACUGGAACUGAGACACGGUCCAGACUCCUACGGGAGGCAGCAGUGGGUAAUAUUGCACAAUGGGCGCAAGCCUGAUGCAGCCAUGCCGCGUGUAUGAAGAAGUCCUUCGGGUUGUAAAGUACUUUCAGCGGGGAGGCGUUACCCGCAGAAGAAGCACCGGCUAACUCCGUGCCAGCAGCCGCGGUAAUAC
rnacentral:rRNA from 1 species